rnacentral:rRNA from 1 species
UACAGAGGGGGCAAGCGUUGUUCGGAAUUACUGGGCGUAAAGGGCGCGUAGGCGGCCUGUUAAGUCGAACGUGAAAUCCCCGGGCUCAACCCGGGAACUGCGUCCGAUACUGGCAGGCUUGAAUUCGGGAGAGGGAUGCGGAAUUCCAGGUGUAGCGGCGAAAUGCGUAGAUAUCUGGAGGAACACCGGUGGCGAAGGCGGCAUCCUGGACCGACAUUGACGCUGAGGCGCGAAAGCCAGGGGAGCAAACGGG